GAAAAUAAAGUGGAGGUCGGGAGAGAGAAGAGAUAAGGGAGAGGAGGAAGAUAAGGUGGAGGCCAGGUGAUUUAUCCCGGUUGGUGGCCAAUCGGGACUAAAGGCUCCCUUAGUCCUGAUUGGAAUUGCCUAUAUUUUUAGGUGAUAAACUAAUUCUAUCGGAGUUAUUGGAGAUCUAUAAGUGAUAAUGUGAACCAUGUUUUCAAUGGAAUCUGGGAAACUAUCAACUUUAGCACCUCCGAUGUACAAGUCCAAGUCCUUCAAUACGGAUUGCAGGGGUUAUAUAAGCUUGCCAUGGCA
rnacentral:lncRNA from 1 species